rnacentral:lncRNA from 1 species
AGAUAUUUCUUUCAACUGAGUAUCAUUUUGCUGCUUCUGGAAUCGUUGAGGAUAUGACAGUGGUGGAAUCUUAGCUUUAACCGGACAACUCUUUUGUGGAAAUUUUUCUGUAUCCGACAAGGGUGUUAGGUAAUCAGAACUAAUUGGUUUAGAGUUUACCUCAUCAAGGAUCACCGUAUCUGACUUUUGUGGAAUAGGAGUUUCAACACUCAGUUGAAC